rnacentral:rRNA from 1 species
UACGAAGGGGGCUAGCGUUGCUCGGAAUCACUGGGCGUAAAGGGUGCGUAGGCGGGUCUUUAAGUCAGGGGUGAAAUCCUGGAGCUCAACUCCAGAACUGCCUUUGAUACUGAGGAUCUUGAGUUCGGGAGAGGUGAGUGGAACUGCGAGUGUAGAGGUGAAAUUCGUAGAUAUUCGGAGAAACACCAGUGGCGAAGGCGGCUCACUGGUCCAUUACUGACGCUGAGGUGCGAAAGCGUGGGGAGCAAACAGG